UGUCGUGGUCCAAUUCCAGAUUAAACCAUUCAGCCCAAAGCAUAGUCCGUCCUUCCUUGCUCUCUCUCUUCCGUUUGCCUUUCAGGCAUUUCGCCGAACACUCUUGGAGCAAGCGAGCGGCGGAAGGACGGCGGCUCGCCGCCGAGGGCGACGGCGUGGCGGGACAGUGAGGGAGCCUUAUAUCAACUCGGAAAGCACGUGGAAGGCUGCGCAAAUGGGGAUCGGCGGCGGCGGCGGGGAUGGAGCUGCUCCAAGCCGGAGGGGCUGAACCGCGACCACCAGGUUUUGGCUCGUCAGGGUCUCCGUGCCGCCGCCGCCACCGGCGGCGCUGGUGUUCUUGGGCCGCGCGUAGGAUGGGCGGAGGCCGGCGGCCUCAGGAAUCUCCUGCUGCUCCGGUUGCUGUAGCUGCAGGUAAAGGUAAGGGCAUGUCUUGUAGCCGCGCGGGUGUUGUGAAGUAGUGGAUGGCUGCACAGGUUUUCGUUGCAGUUCCGAUUGAUUGCUCGUGCGCAGCUCUGGGCUCCGAGAAGAUGCAGUUUGUGCAGGAAAUGUUCUUCUGUGUGAGAAUCGUUCGCUGCCACAUGCCAACUUAGUAGAGUACCAAAUCUAGUGUCAGGUUUUUGAAUGUCUAAGCAUUGUGGGCACAUGACUACAUUGUCGAUCUCCCUGAUGCUGGAGGCACAGUUGGAACCUGGUCCGAUUUUGUGCACUCUAGCAUGAUUUGUGUGGAUGUGGUGGAUGAAGUAAUCGACAUAUUCGGGCAUUUCUUGUCCUGGAUGUUGGCUAAAUGUUUGGCACCGCAAGCGAGCUAUCAUCAUCGGUAUCUGACCAUCUGAUGCGUGAAGCCACAUGAAAUUGAUGACAGCCUGCGACAUUUCAAGUUGCUAUUUGCGAGCCAACCAUUUGUUUCAGGGAUGUAGUAAUCAUGCCAUUCCCUUUAGAAUUUAGUGUGCCCUUCUCCAAUUUUGAAGCAUGCCCUUUCUGGACAUGUUUCUGUUUCAGUACUAAUCAGGUGCAUCUCUGCAAUAUUUGAGAAACAAGUAAGCCUGGUGCGCGUGUGUUCCCCUUUUGUUUCAAAAAGAUUGUUUUUGGAUGAUGACAAACUGACGAUUUCUUUGUUGGCAAGUUCAGGUAGCAUAGGCAUAGCCCAACCUGAUUCUGAACGAUUUAAAGAUAUCAAAUUAAGAAACCUGAGUACAGUCCUACCAUUCCCUUCUGAACAGAAUAUUUAUGACUUGAUAUACAUGUGGUUGGAAUGCUCAUAUUUAUAUUGCUUUAUGAUUCUUGAAGUUGAGGACAUUCAUUAAAGGAUGCUUUUUGAACACUGUUUUUAAACAACACCCAGUUUCUGCUUUAGUUAUUAGUGCUGAACAGACAUUUCUGCAAUGUCCCACUUAAAUUGAUACUUAUGGAACAAAAUUCACUUUAUAUAGUAAACUUAGAGCAAUCAUUUCUAAAGCAUUAUUUUGCAGGUUCUAGAUUAUUUUUGAGAUUGGUUGUAAUUUGAUCAGUUCCCUUUUUGUUAUAAACAGCAAGCUCAAUGAAUAGUUCCAUCAGAUUGGAGCUACUUUGUCCUUUAGUUGGUUGCAUAACCAAUGUCUUAUCUCUGUUUUUAUCUUCCAAGAAUUACCGUUGACUUCAUGAAAGAAAAUGUUCUGUUGACAUACUGUUAUUUUUGCGUAUUGCAGGCUCACAGCCCUUGGAUAAGGUGAUGUAAUGGUGGAUUUUGAUCUACUCUGUUGUGUAUAGUACAUGCUGAUUAUAUCAGCCUGCAUGAAUUUGGGUAGUUAGAGUGGCCCUGAGGAAUCAUUGAUGCAGUCAUCAUCUGCCGUUGUGACUACACACCAUGCAGGGAAGAUUAAUGGGAAGGAUUGUGAUUAUACAAGAGUAAAACUAUUGUUGGUUUUCUUGCCUGCAGCUGACCUUGACUCUGGUUGCAAGCAAGGGCUUGAACUUCGUAAUUAAAGACUGUGUUAACCGCCUAUUAAAGAAGAAUGGGGGUGGCUGAACUAGUCAUUUACUGUGACUACCUGGAGGACAUCACCAACAUUGACGAAAAUGGCCGAUGGGUCCGAUGGCACCUGAACCCACAUCUCCUUGCCCUCGUGGUCCGGCACAAACACCUGUAGCCCUUCCACAUCGUUUGCUCGGAGCAAGCUAAGGAUCUGCGGGUCAGAGUGCUCGCCGAACCCAAUGCGCCCACCUGCCAUCAGAUUCCCACCAUUGCUAGCCUUGGUGCUAACAAGGCUCUUGAUAUUGCAUUGGUCAUCAUGGUCAAGUUUGUGAAUGUUGCAUGAUGGAGGGUAGUGGUUGAUCCUCAGGAGGCAGUCACUGUCAGCGUUUGUGGUAAGCUUGCUGAAGUAUCUGGGGUCCUUGAGACCUAGCCCCUCUCCUAACAGGUCCAGGAUCUCACAUGCGAGCUUCUUCAUGGCUUCAAUGUACUCAUUCACAAUAGCACUGCAACAGAGUGAGGGAGGAUAUCAGCAAGUGAGCACAAUCAACUUGAAAUUGAUUUUAUCAAAAGAAUGCUGUUAUCACAGAAUCAGGUUGGAUGUGCCAUGACAAGUAAAAAGAAGCUGGAGAAAGAGGAGCAAGGUCUUUGACUGAUUGAUGGCUGCAGCAAAUCAAAAGCUGCACCCACCCUCCCUCGGCAUGCCUGCCUGAUGAGUUAGAAAAGAUGAUACACUGAUGGGUAUAUGUGUAUGCCUCUGUGCUUGUGCACCACCAUCUACAAGACGUGAUAUAUUCGUUUCUUGUGAAUCUUGUGAUGCAUGGAUAGGCCACAGAAUCAGCAGUACAUCAUGCAGCCGAGGGGUGACAAAUUUUCCAAUGGGCAAAAAUGUGUUGUUGACAGGAUUGGCCAUACUUUUUUCCACUGCUCCAUGGAAAGACCCAUCAGUGCGUGGAUCACAAGUAUCACUGCCCCUGCCACUACACAACCUCUGGGACAUUUCAUUUUAUCUUACCAUAAAGAGGACUCCUUGCAUGUGUGCCUCCUUUCUUUUGUUUGGCUUUAUAUGGAUAGCAUAGAUAUGCUCUUUAGGGGCCUGGAUCAUUUUAUUCUCAUCAGACAUGUGUGUACUUCCAUGUGGGCCCCUGUCUGUUGCAUUUGACAAAAAGAGGUUGUUCUUCCUUCUUGUCUUGCACUUUUCAUAUAGCAAAAUGGUUACUGUGAAGAUUUCCUAGCCAUUCUGUUCUUAA